rnacentral:lncRNA from 1 species
UUGAUUCAAUACCUCAGUUACAUCUAUGCAUCCUUUACCUUUGCCAUAGCACACGAGGUGACCCCAGGUAUUGAUCGUGACCCCAGGCAUUGAUCGUGCACAGUCGCAGGUACCGCACUCGAGAGGAGCAGGUUAGGGUUGAGAGAGCCUGAUGAAAAAUCCUGUCUGUCCCCAGCUCUGAUUUAGAAGGCCCAGGUGCAGUCCUACAGUCCCCGGGCAACACAGAGUGACACUGAACUUCCCAGCAAGUGAGAGAGGCCUGCAUCCAAGGCCCCCUCCUAUACCAAAUCCUCAUUCCAAGAGCGCACCUCACAAUCCUGCAACCAGUCCUUCGGUGGCAGCGUCUGAAAGCAUGCACAGUUCAAUGACUUCUUGCAGACACAGGAAAUCCACGCACUCAAGUCCAGCUCGAGAUGUUCCUCGGAGCUCUUCAGAGUCGGCACUGCAACACAAAGGAGCAGGCAGCCUUCCUCCAGACUCCUCUCUAGGAUUUGCCCAGGUAAUAAUCAUCGCUCAGACUCUUACAUUCCUGCUCGAAGUACCAUGUACUUGGCAGCAUUCGAGGUAACUGUUUAUUGCAUACGGAGCCCUGUGAGUUAAUACAGAUAGCGCCAUUAGCCCCGUGGCCAUCUUGGCUGAGGCUGGGAAAUACAAUCGCUACAAGCCUGCUGGGACCCAUCUUUCUCUCCCCAGCAUGGAUAGAAGAUGAAGUCCAUCCCCUGCUCUGGAGAGCAGGGUAUGAGGAGCUAUUUGGUACCUGUACCCUCUGCUGAGCCCCUCAACACUCUGUCACCCUU